AUUGAACGCUGGCGGCAUGCUUUACACAUGCAAGUCGAACGGCAGCACGGGCUUCGGCCUGGUGGCGAGUGGCGAAAGGGUGAGUAAUAUAUCGGAACGUACCCAGAAGUGGGGGAUAACGUAGCGAAAGUUACGCUAAUAAUGCAUACGAUCUAUGGAUGAAAGCAGGGGACCGCAAGGACUUGUGCUCCUGGAGCGGUCGAUAUCUGAUUAGCUAGUUGGUGAGGUAAAGGCUCACCAAGGCGACGAUCAGUAGCUGGUCUGAGAGGACGACCAGCCACACUGGAACUGAAACACGGUCCAGACUCCUACGAGAGGCAGCAGUGUGGAAUGUUGGACAAUGGGCGCAAGCCUGAUCCAGCAAUGCCGCGUGAGUGAAGAAGGCCUUCGGGUUGUAAAGCUCUUUUGUCAGGGAAGAAACGGUAGAGGCUAAUAUCCUGUGCUAAUGACGGUACCUGAAGAAUAAGCACCGGCUAACUACGUG
rnacentral:rRNA from 1 species